UGCAGAGAACUUUCCAGAGAUGGAUUGGUGCCUUCGGGAACUCUGACACAGGUGCUGCAUGGCUGUCGUCAGCUCGGUGUCGUGAGAUGUUGGGUUAAGUCCGUAACGAGCGCAACCCUUGUCCUUAGUUACCAGCACGGUUAUGGUGGGCACUCUAAGGAGACUGCCGGUGACAACCGGAGGAAGGUGGGGAUGACGUCAAGUCAUCAUGGCCCUUACGGCCUGGGCUACACACGUGCUACAAUGGUCGGUACAAAGGGUUGCCAAGCCGCGAGGUGGAGCUAAUCCCAUAAAACCGAUCGUAGUCCGGAUCGCAGUCUGCAACUCGACUGCGUGAAGUCGGAAUCGCUAGUAAUCGUGAAUCAGAAUGUCACGGUGAAUACGUUCCCGGGCCUU
rnacentral:rRNA from 1 species